CACGCCGUAAACGUUGGGCACUAGGUGUGGGGUUCUAUCGACGGACUCCGUGCCGUAGCUAACGCAUUAAGUGCCCCGCCUGGGGAGUACGGCCGCAAGGCUAAAACUCAAAGGAAUUGACGGGGGCCCGCACAAGCGGCGGAGCAUGUGGCUUAAUUCGAUGCAACGCGAAGAACCUUACCUGGGUUUGACAUGUAGGGAAAAGCCGUAGAGAUACGGUGUCCUUCGGGGUCCUACACAGGUGG
rnacentral:rRNA from 1 species